AGAUCGAUAUGCGCUACUUAGCUCAGGGCAUUGACCGUCUUGACAUGAGGGUCCAGAACCUUAGCGAGUAUGUUGCACAUGUGGACGCGCAACAGCGGUGGCAAGGGAAUGCAUUGAAUGCAUUCUUUGCUCACCAGGGGUUUCAGUAUUCGGUUCCCUUUCCACCACCAUUCCAGUCACGAUUUGAUGGGGCCGGUACUUCUGGGACACAGCCACAUGAUGAUGGAGAUGACGAGUGAUCCUUUUUAUUUUGUUUUAUUUGUUUUGUGUUAUUUUUAGUUUAGUUUAGUUUUUAGUAUUUGGUAUGUAAUUAAACUUUGAUUUAGUUUGAUUUAGUUUGUUUUCCAUGUUGAUGCUCUUUGGUUGUUU
rnacentral:lncRNA from 1 species